UGGGCUUGACAUGUCCGGAAUCCUGCAGAGAUGCGGGAGAGCCCUUCGGGGAAUCGGAACAC
rnacentral:rRNA from 1 species